rnacentral:rRNA from 1 species
GGACGACUAGUGGUUCGUAAUUCGAUGCAACGCGAAGAACCUUACCUGGGCUUGAACCGCACCUGUAAACCUGUGGAAACACGGGUCCUCCUUCGGGAGCAGGUGUAGAGGUGCUGCACGGCUGUCGUCAGCUCGUGUCGUGAGAUGUUGGGUUAAGUCCCGCAACGAGCGCAACCCCUGCCCUUAGUUGCCAUCGGGUCACGCCGGGAACUCUAAGGGGACCGCCCCGGACAACGGGGAGGAAGGUGGGGAUGACGUCAAGUCAGCAUGGCCUUUAUGUCCAGGGCUACACACGUGCUACAAUGGUUGGUACAAAGGGUUGCCAAGCCGUGAGGCGGAGCCAAUCUCAAAAAGCCAACCUCAGUUCGGAUUGCAGUCUGCAACUCGACUGCAUGAAGUUGGAAUCGCUAGUAAUCGCUGAUCAGCAGGCAGCGGUGAAUACGUUCCCGGGCCUU